AUUGAACGCUGGCGGCAGGCCUAACACAUGCAAGUCGAACGAGUGGCGGACGGGUGAGUAAUGUCUGGGAAACUGCCUGAUGGAGGGGGAUAACUACUGGAAACGGUAGCUAAUACCGCAUACCAUCAGAUGUGCCCAGAUGGGAUUAGCUAGUAGGGGGGGGAACGGCUCACCUAGGCGACGAUCCCUAGCUGGUCUGAGAGGAUGACCAGCAACACUGGAACUGCGACACGGUCCAGACUCCUACGGAAGGAAGCAGUGGGGAAUAUUGCACAAUGGGCGCAAUCCUGAUGCAGCCAUGCCGCGUGUAUGAAGAAGGCCUUCGGGUUGUAAAGUACUUUCAGCGGGGAGGCGUUACCCGCAGAAGAAGCACCGGCUAACUCCGUGCCAGCAGCCGCGGUAAUAC
rnacentral:rRNA from 1 species